UCAGUAGAUUUUGCUUUGGAUGUUUGAAGGUAAGGUCAAAGUCGUUUGGGACUUUCAUAAUAUAUUGUAAUGUUAUUGUGAAUGAAGGUUAGUGAAAAACAAUUUCGUCAAUGUAUUAGUCAUGUAGGUGUUUUCUUACACAUAUUAUUACGUUGUAUUAUCUGUUUACGUCCUUCAUAACUUCCGACUUCUUUGUUUUGUUCAUGUAUCAUCGUUAGUAUUCAUCGAGCCUUGACGAGAGUAAGACGUAAGUUUCCACGAUCAAUAAGUCUCGGCGCAAUUACUUGCUGAUUCUCAAGACGAGGCGUAAUAGACAUUGCUUUCACACCAAGUUCGAUCCUAACGGAAAGGCAAUGGCGCGUAUCAGAGAUAUUACGAUCAUCGAUGGAAAUCAUAAUUCAUCGUGUAUACGCAGAGCAAUGAAUUAACCCUCGCACAGUUACAAUGCAAAAGCAAUGCUCUUUGAUAUUUUAUGAUAACUGACACGCCAAUAAAUGCUUGAACGUAUCGCUCGUUUGAAUCAUACCUCAUCAAUUCUUUUUUCAUUAUUACUUAAUAUAAACGACAUUGAAUGAUAAAUAUACGAUACUGUCUGUACAUUAUUUUUUCAUAUGUAUAAUAAUAUUAUAAUGUUACUUUUGAUUCGGUUUUCCUAUAAAAGGGAAAGCAAGCGUUACACUAAUUUAAGGACAAAAUGUCGCAGAACAAAAUAGAUCCAAUAGUAUAGAGAUUUUUAAUAUCUGUCAA